rnacentral:rRNA from 1 species
CCUACGGGUGGCAGCAGUGAGGAAUAUUGGUCAAUGGGCGCAAGCCUGAACCAGCCAAGUAGCGUGCAGGAUGACGGCCCUACGGGUUGUAAACUGCUUUUAUACGGGAAUAACGCGCCUUACGUGUAGGUCUUUGCAUGUACCGUAUGAAUAAGGACCGGCUAAUUCCGUGCCAGCAGCCGCGGUAAUACGGAAGGUCCGGGCGUUAUCCGGAUUUAUUGGGUUUAAAGGGAGCGUAGGCCGGAUGUCAAGCGUGCUGUGAAAUGUUCGGGCUCAACCCGGGCCUUGCAGGGGAAACUGGCGGGCUUGAGUCCGGGGAAAGUAGGCGGAAUUCGUGGUGUAGCGGUGAAAUGCUUAGAUAUGACGAAGAACUCCGAUUGCGAAGGCAGCUUGAUGCAGUGGAACUGACGCUGAUGCUCGAAAGCGCGGGUAUCGAACAGGAUUAGAUACCCCAGUAGUC